AGACAAAAUUAACUACGACCAGCUGUUCAGUGUAUGCUACAAUCGUCUAACAUCAUUUUUCAAACCAAGCAUAUGAUACAAUAUAACCUCGAACGGUAAAGAAGUGAAAAUUAGUCAAACAAAACACUUUUACACAGUUUGAUACAAAAACAUGUAUAAAUAACCUCCAGAUUAUUGCAACAAAUAGUGGACUAUCCCAUCUAGGCUCUUAUAAACCUAGAGUGUGAAAAAUAGGAGUGACAAUGUAAAUAGGGACAGGCCAGAUACACAGUAGAUCAUAGGCUGUGGUGUUAAAAGUCGUUGUGAAACACGAGAUGAAACCUCGUCGCUGAAGCUAUUGGAGUUUUGUUCCUCUAGAGUUGUGGACGGAUGUUCUUCAGCCAACCGGAAGAGAUAUUCAAGAUGACAUCUUCUUAAAGUUUGUCAGUAGUACCAUUGACCUCCACCACUACUUCUGGAGCUUUUACUUUAAAUGCUCUGCAAGCACAAGAUUCUUGGAUAUUUGAGAGAAGGCACCAUGCAUCGAAACUGGAGUCUCACCACACAAAGGAGCGGGUACAACAUCUGGGCAACCGCAUUUUUAGCCACCUGGACUUCAGGUCACCUAGCCAGUUCAAACCAUAUGUUGGGUGCAUCUUCAAGGAGUUCGAUUGAAAUGUUACUUAUUGAUUUUCUUACUCUUGCCGAAAAUCGUUAAUAUUGUAUAUUUUGUUUUUUGAAUUUAUGAAUUUUAUCAUUAUUAGUGACGUUUAUAUCUGUUUAAGAGAGUAUAUUAUUUAUUUUGCUUUAAAUUUUGCGUUAUGGUUGCUUUUAUUUCAGGGUUACUUGAUUAAUUUAUUUUGUGAAAUUUAAUGUUGAAGAAUCACAAUGCCGUGAACUCUCAUAAAAAAUAAUACAUUGGAUCUAUGUCAAUUUGAAAUAGAUUCAUAAAUUGAUCUGACACCAU